AAACCCAUCGCGUCUCGGAUUGUCAUGAUCUGAGGGGCGGAUUUGGACGCUGCCGUAGUGGCUCGUCUCGAAAUGCAUUAGCCAGUCCGAGGACGCGCGCCGUUGGUGUGAUAAUUCACUUUGCGCCGCUGGUCGUGUCCGACGAAGGCUCACAGUCGCCCGCAAGGGCAAAUACUUUAAUG
rnacentral:misc_RNA from 1 species